CGCCAUCAUCAUCAUCAUCAUCGUGGUCAUCGUCCUCUUCGUCGUCGUCAUCAUCAUUAUUCUCGUCUGGCUGUGGAAUGGUUCUCCGGUUGUGUAGAAUGGCACAUACAGUGAUGACUAUGCUUGCGCUCUCUGGUGUGAGGCGUAUUUCGCCGUGGAGGACAUGAAACCGUCGUUUCAUCUGCCCAAUUCCUCUCUCCACAACAUUUCGUGUAUGUUUGUGUGCUCUAGCAUGUAUGGAGGAAAACAGUAAACAAUAGUAAAUAUGGAUUCAACAAAUACAAGGCGCCAAAGAGCAAAUACGAUGUGCUUUACGCAUGAUUUAAGCGUAAUCUGCGUAAUCCCUUACAUGUUAUACUUUAACUGUGCUCCCGGUUGUGGAUUGAGGUAGGGUGUCAAGAGCCACGUCUUGCAGGGAUAGCCACUGUCACCCAGCAAGUGAUACCCAACUGGUACGUCUCAAAAAUCUGCCUCAGACCGCUCUCCAUUAAAAUGUGUGAAUCAGGGGUAGCUCCAUGCCACUUUGCAACAACAUCCAGUAGGCUAUGUUAAAAUUUGCAUCAAAAACAACCUGCGUGUUGAUGGAAUGCACUUUCUUCCUAUUGACGAACACAUCCUCAUCUUUUGAUGGCGCAAUUAUUUUUAUGUGCGUCCCGUCAAUAGCACCGACCACACCGGACAUACCUGCAAUUGCCAUGAAGUUGGCUUUGAUCCUGUGUAAUUGUUGAAUGUCCAAAGGAAACCGGAUAAACUGUUGGAUGAUAUGUGGUCUAGUGAGCGCGUUGAUAGUUUGGUUUAUGGCACGGCUGACUGAUGGUUGCGAUAUUUUUAAAUCGUCGGCAUUGCAAAGUUGCAUUUCCCCUGUUGCUAAAUAACGUAGUGUGGCCAAACAUUUUAUUUCGGGACUAAUCGGAUUAUUCCUGUUAGUCGGGGAUGUUAUUGCAUCCCGCACUAACUCCACAACAAGUUUAAUACCCUCACGAUUUAGCCUAUAUCUCUUCAUCAACUCACAGUCUUCCAUUGUCUCCAAAACAUUUCGUCUCGCAGCCAUUUUACGAUUCUUUGUGAAUAGGUCUUACUGAGUUAGGAGUCCUCUUGAGGACUUUUAGGCUCUCCUAGACUUAGGUGCUACUUUUAGGCCUAAAAUACUUUGUGAAUUGCUCCUAGUGAAAAAAGUUAGGAGUCCUCAAUUUAAGAGUGACAUGCCCAUUAUUUUUAGGAGUUACUCCUAAAUUCGCCAGUUAGGAAAUACUUUUAGCCCUAAGAUCCUUUGUGAAUACGGCCCCUGAUCUACUAAAUCGAAAAAUAGAUGGCCAGUGACUGCCAUAAUAAUUGCAUGUUUGAUUAUUGUUCAAACAGGGUAAGCAAUCCUAUCGUCGGGGACUGAGGUCUGUUUGUUUAUCCCUGAGGCAAGAACCCAACACGUACCACACUCAAAGUUCUUUGUAAAUGUCUAUGCCAGCAUUCCGUCCUCGACAAAAGAAGGCAAGAAACAAUCAGCUAACCAGGGUCUCGCCCAAAUAGCGCAGGGCUCAACAAUAAAGAUUGCCCGACGUCCCAGGGCAAGUAAAACGCCACGUCGGGCAAGUAACUAUGACAACCCACUUGCCCAUUCGGGUGAGUGGAGGACUCGAAGCAAAAAAAACAAAAAACGAUCAUCAUCGAUUAAGUUAUUAUGUUGCCCCCUCCCCUUGCCCUCGUCGGAUAAUGCUUGUAUUGCUUGGUGUACUAUUUGAUUUUAUUUGAAUAUGGCUUCGGCCAAUCAAAAUCGAGAUUGCGAGACUCCCGGCAGGUAGCGGGCACGCUUUUAUUUUGAAAAUCUGUGUCUCAAGAAAAGUGCAUUUUUUUUUUAUAUAUUAUAGGCUAUACUAGUUGUGUAAUUGUUUUAUUAGAGCUAUGUUAUGGUGCUUAGGUUCAAGGUGUGUGCGUGGCUGUGAUUUUAAAAACAAAUCUGGGGGAAUGAAUUUGGAUUAAAUGUUGUGAGUGACGGCUAUGAAGUUAUAGUAAGAUUCAUGAAAGCUAUCCAUUUAGUCUCUUUUAAGGGUUUGCCAUGGUCAUAUUUGAUGACCUUUGGGAACCAUUUUUGAGCAUCCUAAAGGCCAAAACCUUCUUCAGUGUCCUGGCAGUCUCUGCCACUGAUGUGAGCACCCGUGACCUCAAGGGGGUGUACGUCAGCAGAAGAUCUGGAAGCCGACCAAUCUGGGGGGAACAAGGUGGCUCCCACAUAUUAGACCCUCAUGAAGGACUAUCCUGUUGUGUUGGCACACAUGGAGAACACAAUUGAGACGAGAUCUGCCAGCAUCUGCCACAUGAUCGGGAGAGCCAAACAGUGUGUCCAGAUCCUGAAGGACUACAGCCGUCUACUGUUUGUGGUCCUGGUUCAGGAUAUCCUGCAUGUUUAGAGCUGUUUAAGUCUGAAGCUUCAGGAGGACGGUGUUACACUCCCCAAGGCCUUACAGCCAUUUGAGAUGAUCAUGACACUGCUCAUGGUUACAAGCAUGCACACAACAGCUGGAGAGAGCCUUGAAACCUUUCUUCAGGAGUCAGCAGAGGGCCAGUUCCAUGCAGUUCAGCUACAGAGCUUUAGCCAGGAGAGCGGGAUAGAUUUAACAGAUUGAAGAGCCAACUCCUUGACGAGGUCAUCCAAAGACUGAGGAGCCGGUAGAAGAGCCUGGAAUCUGACAAAAUUCUUCUAGCGGCUGCAAGGUUGGUGGACCCAAGGGAGUGGCCCACAGAGGAGGCAGAGCUGGCCAGCUUUGGAGCAGACCAUCUACUUGUGAUCACAGAACACUUUGCCGAGAUACUGGGUAGGGCAGGCUGUGACAGGAGUCAGGCAAGACACCAAGAGUUGCCCAGUGCCCAAGUGGUCAUAAAAGCGAUGCCCCAGGCUCAACAAACCAAGGUAUGGGCAGACUUUUUUAAAGAUCGUGACAGGCUACAGAGCUUCCCAAACCUGCUGAUGGUGGUUGAGCUAAUCCUCGUGCUCCCACUCUCCACUGCUGCUUGUGAGUGUGGCUUCAGUGCAAUGAAACGCGUAAAAACUGACUGUGUUGCAGCCUUUCAGUUGAUAUGCUGUGGAAACUGCUAUACAUUAGCAUCGAGGGGCCAGCAGUUGCCAACUUCAAUGCGGAACGUGUUGUAGGAUGAUGGCUGUCAGUAGGUCAGAGAGCACGUCGGGUGUGAGGGGAUUAUUAUUUAUUUGAGUGCCAAAGUUUAAAAUAUGGGAUAAAACCUCAAAACGAAAAAAUACAAAUGUUCCAACAAUGUCAGAUGCAUUCAAACAUUGUGAAUAAAGAUAAAAUAUAACAAUUUACCUGAAACGUUGUCGUUAUUUGAUCAUUUGAUAAAUAAUAAAAAAAACUAUUUAUAUUUGGGGCCAGUGAAAAUUGACUUUGGG
ensembl:lncRNA